GAAAAACAUGAAUACAGGGAGGGAUCAGCACUUGGCUGGACAGUUCUGAUCUCCACUAGAUCAGAAACAGAGGCGCAACCAGGUGAUAUCUUCUGGAGGAAAUUCAGUCAUAAAGAUAGAGCCCUCGUGAAUGGGAUUAGUGUCCUCAAAGAAGAGACCUCAGAGUGAUCCCUUGCUCCCUUUCUAUGAUGUGAGGAUAAAAAAGAGAUGACAGUCUCCAACUUGAAAGAGGUCCCUCACCAGAACCCGACCACACAAGCACUGUGAUCUCAGCUCCCGGCUCCAGAACGCUGAGAAAUAUGUUUCUGUUGCUUGCAAGCUCUCCAUCUAUGGUAUUUCUUAUAAGUAAGACAGAAGUCUAGCCAGAAGAAGAAGGAACUCAGGGGCAGAUAAUGAAAAGGAGCAAAAAAGCAGGCAAGUAAGAAGUAAGGAAUCAGAAGAGAGAUCACAAUGAGAGCAACAUGGAACCAGGAUGUUGAAAAUCAGUCACUUGGCACUGAUCCCAGAGAGGGCAAAAGUCGACAAUCUUAUUAUUUCAGUGUCUGGGUAGGUUUUCUAAUUAA